ACACAACUUGUCCCUCCUCUACUUCAGAAUGCAGACUUUCGUAUUAAAAAUGUACAAGGAAUAGCAGUAAGAGUGCUAUUGGCUAUUUCUUUGUUGGGAGAGUUCAAAGAACGGUGAGGAUGCAGGAGGAUGAUGGAAAUGUGGGUGAGCCGAUCUUCCAGGGAAAGCACCAGGAGUUAAAGCAUGCUUUGAGGCGGGCUGCUGCAAAGGAAAUAGGUGCCUGGUGUUUGCUAGCCCAAACGAAACCUUUCCCUUUUGCAGACUGUAGGAGUGCUCGCCUUGCCCUCUUUCAAGUGGUGCUGUUUGAAUCUGAAAUAACGCGCUUGCAAGCUGCUCCACAAAACUGCAUUGAGAGGGACCUGAUGACUCUUGGCGACGACAGAAAUUUUUCUCAAUUCUUCCUGCAUGGACUUUAUAUACAGACUUAGAGUCCUCCUUCCGCUGGAGAGAUCUGCCUCAGAAUUUGACACUUCUUUACUCUAAUUUAGCAAAGCCCCAGCUGGGUGCAGCAGAGGUUGAGCACUUUGUGCUUCUGCAAAUGUAAGAGAGAUGUUGGCCAUACUCUGGGCCACCACCAACGUGGAAAUCCACCUACCUGGCUAAAAAGGACCAAGUAAACUGUAUUAUUAUGCCUUUAACAGUAAUGGAUGUCAUAUAGGUAUGUACUUAGUAUGGUAAAUAAACAGGUCUGUCAACAGUAAAGGCCCUGGAAA
rnacentral:lncRNA from 1 species